AGUGAACGCUGGCGGUAGGCCUAACACAUGCAAGUCGAACGGCAGCACAGUAAGAGCUUGCUCUUACGGGUGGCGAGUGGCGGACGGGUGAGGAAUACAUCGGAAUCUACUUUUUCGUGGGGGAUAACGUAGGGGAACUUACGCUAAUAUCGCAUACGAUCUACGGGUGAAAGCAGGGGAUCUUCGGACCUUGCGCGGUUGAACGAGCCGAUGUUGGGUUAGCUAGUUGGGGGGGUAAUUGCCCACCCUGGGGACGAUCCGUAGCCGGUGGGAGUGGAUGGUCGGCCACACUAGAACUGAGACAGGGACCAGACGCCUACGGGAGGCAGCAGUGGGGAAUAGUGGACAGUGGGCGGGAGCAUGAUCCAGUCAUACCGAGUGGGUGAAGAAGGCCUUCGGUGUGGAAUGACGGUUUGUGGGGAAAGAAAAGCAGCAGGUUGAUACGCCGCUGUAGUGACGGUACCCAAAGAAUAAGCACCGGCUAACUUCGUG
rnacentral:rRNA from 1 species